CUCAGGCGAGCCUCCGAGGUUCUGAAAGCAGCGUCCCAGGGGCUGCCAAUCACUGUCCUGCGCACCGAUGGGAAGGAAGAGCAGCUCAGAGAAGCAGGGGACCCGUGCAGCCUGAAGCACUGUGGGCAAGAGGGAGGAGAUACCCAGAGGCCAGAACAAGGGACUUGCCUGAACCUGCCAUCUCUGUCAUUUACAUGGCGACUGGCCAGGGCUGCCAUGUGGCGUCUUUCAUAAGCCGGGUCCUGGGCUGGGACUCAGAAGUGGACUGUCACCUCGUCUCCCCUUUAUCCCGCUUCCUCAGCCCGCCUGCUUCCUUGUCAGUGCAGGACAACAUGACCUGCCCCCUGCAGAAGCAGGUGUGGAAUGGUUCUUCCAACCAACACAAUGCAGGGCAUUCCCCGGGCACACACUUAGCAAGCACAUGCUUCCAAGCCCCCAGGGUACCGCGGAGUGCAAUCAAUGCCAGUGCCUCCUCUACGAGCCCAACUUCCUAAUAAAACCACUUGAACACUUGUAAGAUGAUGGAGAAAAAAAAAA